UAUAAAUAAGUAAAUAAAUAUUUAAAGAUUAAAAUUACGUGAAUAUUUUAUUGAUGCAUUAGUCAGUCGGUUAUGUACAACUAGUUAAGCAUAUAUUUUGUCUCAGAAGUGGCUUGCUGUUGGGUUGCUCAAGGCUAAAAUAAUCGGUGAGCCAGAUACUUUUAGACAUUAUGUUUGACCUCACAAUUUUAUGUAACUACAGUUUUAAUCCAAAAAGUUAAAACUUAUUCAGAUCAGUCCAGGUAUAUUUUGAAAAUCGUACAAAUAACUCUCUGUCGCUUUUAAAAAUUUGGCAAAUAAGUCCAUAUAAAGUUAAGAAAAUUACUAUUGAUAAAUGAAUUUGAGUAUCUGUUUUCCUUAAACAUUUUUUUAAAAAACAUUUUCACUAAACUAUUGUGUAAUAAAAAAAGUUUAAGAACAUUGGUAAAUAUAAAGAUUAAAAAACAUUUCAGCUCAAAUCAAAUUUGUUAAGCAUUCAUAAACUCAGACUAACUAUCUUUACAAGAAAUUAGUUUUUAAAAAAGCAUGUCACCUAAGCUAUUUUCUUUUUAAAUUUGAGUUUUCUCUUAAUGAACCAUUAUUAUGAACACUUGAUCUUGUCAUCGUACACAUAAAUCUUGAACUUGAAGAACUAGUGAGAAUAAAAUGAUAAACUCAUAUUAUUAGAAAAAUAGAGUUUGAUUUAAUCAAAAUCUGAGUUAAUAUGACUAUUUAGGUUAAAAUUGUUAAACCCUAAUUCCUCCCAAUAAGUAUACCAAAUAUGAUGAUGACAUAUUAACAUGAUGCUUUUGCAUCUUUUGAAAGUGUGUGAUAAUUUUUCUUCUUUCAUUAAGCUCCUAGAAACAAGUUAUCUCUCUAAACAUUGUUUCAUUACACAUCACAUCAAAUGUUUAUCUUAUUUCAUCUUUGUAGUCCUUUAAUAGUGACUUCAUUGUCUUAGGUGUCUAAGAGCGAUCAUCGAUUAUAGGCCGACACCACCGACCUUGUUCUUUGCUCUAAGAGAUAAUAACACCUAAGGCAACAACCGUCUAAUUUGAGUUUAGAGAUUACACAAAGAGUCCACAUCCUCCAUUGAUAACAAUGAGCUGGGCGGCACAUCACACGACAUGGGCACAACAUGUGUCUGUAUAGUAUAGCACAACACGAGCACAUUUUGGUAGGACAAGUAAAACGACACGAGAUGUAAGCAAGUUAGGCUGGAUUGAGCAUUUUAGGCACAUGGCCUUAAAAACAUAGCAUUAUUAGAGAUUGUUUAAAGUACGGCACAAGUAAAGGCCCGCAAUAAACAUGUUUUACUAAUAGAUUAACACUUGGCUUGUAAGCCAUGUGUAGCACAUAGGCCUAGGUAUAUUAAAGUAAAACUUUUUAAUGAAAGUAAACUUAUAAUUUUAU
rnacentral:lncRNA from 1 species